UAUCAUUAACAGAUGUUUGCCAAAAUAUGUGUUUUUCGUCUCCUCCAGUUGCGUUUGAUUCCUAAUUACUAGUCAAACUACCACAUAGAGUAGUAUCAUUUUUUUCAAUAGGCAAUGUACCAUCUAUUCAUCCUGUGAGAGAUUGUCCUCCACAGUGACUGGGAAUGACCGGACCUUUCUCCAUGUGGGGGCCUUCGAGAGUCCCCUCAAGGAGUUUCCCGAUUGUAAUGAGUUUCCUUGUGUGUCUCUGGUCCAUCUACAUUCAUCGGUCCGGUUCCUGCCCUUACCACAUCUCCUACAUAACCCAGAAGGCGGAGGCCUUCUAUAUGAGACAUUGUUGGAAUUUCUUUGCCUACAAUUUCUAAUAUGUCCUAUUCUGCCUCAUUUGAAACCUGGUACCUUCUUGGUCCUCUCGGGGAUUGCUCUUCCUACCCAAGUUCCUGUUCCAUUACAGUGAUAGCAUCUGGCCUCUUGGUGUCUAUUUUGACCUCUGUAAGUUACUUCUCCUUCCCAAGCUCCUGCGGCAUUACCUUGAGAACAUUUAACCUCUUGGUGUCUCUUUAAACCUUUUGAGAUUGCCUCUCCUACCCAAGUUUCUGUAUCUUGUACAUUACAGUGGAGGUUAGCUGUAUGCAAAACCCAUUCUUCCAGCAGAGCUGAUCUGAUCUUUAAAGGCAAAAGUAUUCUUUUGCAUAUUGGGUUAGCAUUCUCAUAUGAAAGAGAAUAUAUGAUCAUUUUUCUAGGUUCUGGAUCUGCUACCUGUAGUGACUCUACUGCCCUGGAUAGUCUUUGUAAAAAGUCAUGAAACUGUUCCUUCUGUCCCUGUUCUAUCUUUGUAUAGGUUUCUACUCUUUCUCCUGGUUCACAAAUCUUGUCCCAGGCAUUAUAGGCUGCUGUCCUGCAUAAGGACAAUGUAUGCUCAUCAUAUCCAGCCUGAAUCUGUGAGUUAGCAUAAAGACCCUCACCUAAAAUCUUACCUAGGGAAGCCUCAUAACCUUUCUUUAUGCCUUGAAGCUCGAGGGCUUCUUUUUCCUCCUUCUGCAGAGCUCUCCACGGUAUCUGAGAUGAAUUUCGAGUACAGCUGAUACUUGGUGUUCCCAAUCCCUGGGCAUCACCCUACUAAAGGUCGUCCAUGAAUUUAAUAAUUGUUUCUUAUAGGGUCUAUGGAGACCAUAUGAAACAACUGACUCCUUAAUUCCUUAAAGUCUUUCAUUUGUAUGGGUUCCCACUGAUAUGCCAUCUGACCAUGUGGAUGCUUCUUAGACAGCAGUUUUUCUGACAUAAUUGCUGGGAACACUAUUGGUGUACGCAUAACAACCUUAGGAAAGUUUUCCUGAUGUUUGAAUGGAGUAGGUGCAUCAGACUGGGAGUAAUUUGAUUCUGUGUCAUCCUCUGACACCAGGUAAUGAAGAACACCAUUAAUCCAGAUCACAAUGGAAUCAGAGCUGGUAUGAAAAACAGAUGGUUUAUUAGGAAAGUACUCACUCAGCAAAGCCAGUCCUGCACAACCAGAGUAGUACUCAUGUGAACUAACAGUCUACUCCUGGCGAAAGAAAUUAGGAAACUUUCUUUGUACCACUAGCCAGCUCCCAAAUAAGCACACAGAGAAGUCUUAUUAAUUAUGAAAGGUCAUGUUUCCUCUGUGUCUCCUCAGGACUCCACCCUUCUUCUUCCCAGA